GAUGAACGCUGGCGGCGUGCCUAAUACAUGCAAGUCGAGCGAACAGACGAGGAGCUUGCUCCUCUGACGUUAGCGGCGGACGGGUGAGUAACACGUGGAUAACCUACCUAUAAGACUGGGAUAACUUCGGGAAACCGGAGCUAAUACCGGAUAAUAUAUUGAACCGCAUGGUUCAAUAGUGAAAGACGGUUUUGCUGUCACUUAUAGAUGGAUCCGCGCCGCAUUAGCUAGUUGGUAAGGUAACGGCUUACCAAGGCAACGAUGCGUAGCCGACCUGAGAGGGUGUUCGGUCACACUGGAACUGAGCCACGGUCCAGACUCCUACGGGAGGCAGCAGUAGGGAAUCUUCCGCAAUGGGCGAAAGCCUGCCGGAGCAACGCCGCGUGAGUGAUGAAGGUCUUCGGAUCGUAAAACUCUGUUAUUAGGGAAGAACAAAUGUGUAAGUAACUAUGCACGUCUUGACGGUACCUAAUCAGAAAGCCACGGCUAACUACGUG
rnacentral:rRNA from 1 species